CGGCCGGGCCCGGGCAAGCAGCAUUCGCGAACCUGGUCAGGCGGGGAACCGAGCAGCCAUAAGCAUUUAUGCGGCUGUGCACGGCAAACCCGGCCGCCU
rnacentral:SRP_RNA from 2 species